rnacentral:rRNA from 1 species
GAUCAUGGCUCAGGACGAACGCUGGCGGCGUGCUUAACACAUGCAAGUCGAACGAAAAUACCAAGCUUGCUUGGUUGAUUAGUGGCGAACGGGUGAGUAACACGUGAGUAACCUGCCCCUUACUUUCCUGGAUAACUGCUCGAAAGGGUAGCUAAUACGGGAUAUUCUGGCCUUCCUGCAUGGGUUGGUUUGGAAAGGUUUUUUCUUGGUAAGGGAUGGGCUCGCGGCCUAUCAGCUUGUUGGUGGGUGAUGG